AUCGUCGUGCCAUGUUCCGCUGCUUCGCCAGCGACAUGCCCAGGUAGCCUCGACCUUCAAGGCUACGAUGCGAUCCGUCGCAUUGGUUGUUUUUGUACCUGAUGCCAUCGCGCGUCUUUUACCUCAACCCUCAAGGGACAUCCCUCCCUUGCAGGGC
rfam:Spongiibacter sp. IMCC21906, complete genome.